CAAAGGCUGCCACCGUAACUCAUCAGCCUAAGGGGGUGACCCUUUUCAAGAGGAGCCCCACUCGGGAAGUGUCCAUGUCUCGUAGGACAUAGACGAGAUCUAAAACGUGUGACUAAAUGAAGAAGGUGUUGGAGAGAAGAGAAACAUCAUGUGCUAUUCCAUCAGCAACUGAAGGGACAUGAAAAUACAGAGCUGCUCAGUUAGUUCCCCGGGAGCAGGCUUUUGGCAGAGCCUUAAGAGCGAUCCCGAGGGCUGUUACCUCUGAUGUUGGGGCACCGGAGGAGGGACCCCCAAACAGCCCUAGGGUCCUGAUCAUGUCCUUUAUCGUCUUCUGCUCUUAUCCCAAAUACGGAAGCUUCUGCGUCCGGCCCCGAGUGGAGGACGGCGGAUGACCACUCUCCGGCGCACGCCUGGCUCGCCCAGGCCUCCUGUCCCGCGGUCGGUCACCUGCCCACUGCCCCUCCUGCGCUGGGCUGGGGGCCCUUCUCACAGCGCUUCCUCUGUAACCCCAUCGGGUCACGUCUUAGUCACACUCUGCUUCGCCACCCUUCUCUCUGCUGGAUGUGCCCUCCAGGGACCGUGCUGGCAGCUCAUGACCUUGGCAGUUCUGUGCAUCCGGGAAACCCGAUGACGAAG